GCAAACUUGGUCAUUUAGAGGAAGUAAAAGUCGUAACAAGGUUUCCGUAGGUGAACCUGCGGAAGGAUCAUUACCAGGAAACGGUGCCCUCGGGCCCGGUUCUCCAACCACUGCGUACCAAGCAUUAUGUUGCCUCGGCGGGCGUCCCCCCCAACCCCACGUGGGCGGGGGCUCUGCCCGCCGGAGGAACCCUUAAAAACUACUUUGCAUGACGAACGUCUGAAUCUACAUCGCUAAUGCGAAAGUACAACUUUCAACAAUGGAUCUCUUGGCUCCGGCAUCGAUGAAGAACGCAGC
rnacentral:misc_RNA from 1 species